rnacentral:piRNA from 1 species
UGCCCUAAGUUAUUUCCAGAUCAGCCUCUGA